UGCCUAGCAGUAAUUAAGCCUCCUGAGUUAGAACUUAAUAAAAAUGCCUUUGCUGUGGGUUUCCAAGGUUCUCUGGUGAAGAGAGUACAGCAGAAAAACAUUUUGGGAAACACAAGAGAGGUUUCAAAGCUCAGGCAGGGUGGUGGAGGCUGUCUGCCUUCUACCGUUUGCUCCUGUAGUUUUAGUGACACAGAGCCUUGCAGAGUCUGGGAGAUGCCUGAGGGAACAUUUUUCUUCCAAAUCCUGGCUUUGAAACUCUAGUCAGAUAAAGAAUAAAGAAUGGAAACCUAGGUUUAAGGAAAGAUCUAAUUCUGCACCUAAGCUCACUGCUGCUUCCUGAAAGCCUGUCAGGAGGGAAGCCUACAGGGGAAUAUGUCAUCAUUAGCAACGAGAUCCAGGAAAACCUUGUGGAGAACCCCCCUCAGUGAUCUUCACUCAUCCUUUCAGCCACAACCAGAAUAUAAAGUCUUUUACAACAGCUGGCUCACAUCCUUACAUGGUGGCUCCCUCAAUUACUGGACAAUGCAAGAACAGGAACUCUCAGAGAAUGACCCUGGGCAAUAAGUAGGCCCACGACCUGCUAGGUACUGUACCCAGGACAAGUGACUUCAACAGCUCAGACUAUCUAAGGUUUCCAGAUUCUAGAGCCCCACCCCCAAACACCUGGAGCUGUACAAUUAAGGUUCAAUCACAAAGCCACACUUUAAAUUGUAUUUUUUCCAAGAUCACAAUAUGUACAGUGAAGUUUAGGAAGGUUUGAAAUAAGCAUCCUCACUAUAGCAGCCUCAGGAUGCUGCCCUGCUUUCUGCCUCAUGGAGUCAGAGGGAAGAUACUGGCCUUUACACAAAGAACCAAGUUCUGCUCACUUGCAGAAAAAACAAAGGGACGGAACCUCCAACCAGAACAUAAGAUGCAAGAUACAGAAUUUACAGUUUGGGACUCAUGGUGACAUGAGUCUCCGGUGCUCCCAGAGGUAAAAGAAACUGUUUUGGGGUUUCACUGAGUAAAGAAUAAGCUACAGAACCUGCUUUGAAAAAAAGCUGGUUGACUCUUCAGUGUGUUACAAAAGCUGGUAAAUUCUGAUUGGUGGUUGUCACUAGUUGUUAGGUAGGAUUUGUGGCCUUGAUGUUGUGAUUAUGAUUGGACUAAGUUUUAGAAAUAGGGAUACACAGCCUAAGUAUCUUUUUGUAUGGCCUCCUGACACUAUUUUAUUAGGUAUGACAUAAGUGACCCCAUAUAAGAUAACUUUGACAGCCAUCAUCAGAUACCAAAUUAUUAGUGCUUUGACUUAUGAUUUCCUAGCCUCUGGGACCGUGAGAGUAAAUUUCUUAGUAAGUCUCUUAGUUCAUGGUAAUUUGUUAUAGUCUCUCACAUAGAGUGAGACAACUGCUCAGACAACUAGUUGCACAUAGAUCUAUAUUGCUGGUCCAAUAAAGUGUGCCUUGUUUGCCCAUACCUAGCACAGGAGGCCAGAGGGAUGUGAGGACCACAGACCCCUGAUAAACUCUCCUCCAACAGAGUCCUGGAAGAAGAAAGAGCACCAGUCUCUUCUCUCAUUGCUCUCUGAAAAUCCCUUAUCUCCAGGGCUGGUGAGAUGACUCAGUGGGUUAAAGCACUUGCCACAAAGCCAUGGCUUUGACCCAUGGGACCCACAUGUGUAAGGAUGAAAAGUAAUACCUACACAUUGUCUUCUGACAUCCAUACAUGCAUCAUGGUAUGUACACACAUAGGAAACACACAAAUAAAUGUUAAAAUUUUUCUCCUGUUAGGGCUGGAGAGUUACCUGGUAGUAAUUAACAGCACUGGCUGCUCUGGUGGAAGAAUUCAUUAAGGGAUGGCUGAAGAGAAGUCUUCACUAGUCUCCCAAUCCCUUCUUCUCCAGGAUUGCUCUGUCUGUCAAGGUGGGCUUGUCCUGUUUUCAGGAUUCUUCUCCUGCCUGUAAUCUGUUCCUACAAUGACUCACUUUGAUGGCCACAGAUUGGAAAAUAUGAUUCUAGAACAUUCUCAGCCUUUUGGUCAACAUGUCCCCUGAUCAUGAUCCCAGGAGAAGAACCUGCCAUGACUGCAGAAACUCCCAGAUGAUGAUGUUCUGCUUUAAGCACUGGCAUUUAUUGCAGUAGAGGAGAACUGACUUCUUUGCUAUGUCUUUCUAUCAUUGAACAUGAAGAAAAAGGAAGGAGGGGGAAAAGUCUCUUCUGUGAUUUAGAGGGAAAACUGUAUUUGCGGCUGAGUGCUUCCUAGAACAUGUUCACAAUCAACCCAGCAUUCUUUGGUUUUUAGUUCCUUCCCACUACUUCCUAACAGUGCCUGAGGCUAUAUGAAACUGAUGCUAUUUAAUUCUGUCUAAGUUUUGGAGCUGUUUUCAGGGAUCUUCCGAUUAUGGUUUUAACUUGCAGGAAAAUGAGAACCAGUUCACAGGCACACUCCUGCUAAUUCCCUGCAUCACCUGAGUGUAUCCGGAAUAGAUGUUCAGGGUCGGAUUGGUGUAUAGAAGGACACACACCCUUUUAGGGAUGCUCAGAGACGUAAGGAAAAGCUCUUUUGAAGCCUGAUCUGAUAAAAUAUAUUUAAGAAAGUCAGAAAUGAAUGUCAACCCAGGAAAUAGGGGUCUCACUCAAGACCAGGGGAGAAUUUUCUAGAAGAAUGAAACAUGGGCAAAUUCUGAGGGCUUAGCAGAAAGAGGUGCAGAAGAAACAGUUCUAAGCUGUGUUUCCAAGUAGAGGGGAAGACUACAGCUAGAAAAAUCUACCAAGGACUCACCCACCCUGAUAUUGAUAAUGGAUUGUGAGGGCCCCUCACCCACAGAAGAGUAGCAGACUCUGAAGACCUGAAACCCACCCAGCAGAUAGCAAUGAAUUCUGGCAACACAGGAGAUGCUGAAGAUUCUAGCCUCCAGCUCAUCAUUUCUCAACCAUCCCUGAGGACCAAUGCUUAAUGGCCAGCAAAAUAAUUAAUGAUCUUAUUGGGCUUAGUGACUUGUAACAUCCCUCUUGUCCUUUGAGCCUUACAGGAGCUAUUUGUUUUAGAGCAAAGAUAUUAAAUUCAUGCCUGAAAGUAUUAUAGGGAGAAGACAAACAGCCUUGAAUGAAAUAAAUGACUUCUCAAGACACAUUUUUUUCUUGAGCUGUUCUAACAUUUCAUCUUCUACAAAACAUUUCAGGGUUUGAAUUUUUUGUCUGUUUUUUGAUGUGUGGUUUCUAAUUUUUGAACUGAGUACCUUACUGCUUUGUAAAGCACAUUUCACUUGCUAAUAUGGUGUGAUCCUGGCAGAGUCGGCAAGGGUCCACUAUGGGUCCAUUUCUUCUCAUGCUUGGCCUCUACCUUUCUUUAUGAAAUGAAACAAAGGAUGUAAUGAAGUUUUCAUCCCUUUCAUCUCUGUAAGGAUACUUAAGGAUUCUGGGAUUUUCCUUCUUCUGGAUUCGUGCCUCUAUGUUACUGACCACGGAACUAGAAACUCAGUUUAAGCUGUAAGUAGAAAUGAAUUAGAAAUUAGAUUAUAUUUAAUUGGAAAUUAGAGGAUAAGCUUUUCUGAAGUGUGGGUUUCCAUAGCACCCAGCUGCAGUUGACUAUUCGGAUCCCAUUUAAAAGGCACACAUCUGUUCCACGUUCUUAUUUGAUUUAAUUAAAAAAUGAAUGCUACCGAUUGUGUUCAUUAGGCAGUCCAUAUCACAUGCGGUGGGGCUUUCAGUUUUAUUUAAUAACACUAGGGAUAGAUGAUGAAAUUAUUCUUAAUAUUUCAGUUGGUGGCAGAGGAAGUGAAAUCAGGAGAGCUUACUUGAAAUUAAAAGCAAAAUUGAGGGCCAUGAAUCACUCUCAGUGCAGGCACAGAGCAUUUCCCUCACAUUUUCCACUUCACGACUCAAGUGCUUUAAAGUUAUGCCUCUCUGAAAUGGAAAUCCCUCAUCUAAAGAAUAAAGGGCUGCUCAAGCCAAAAGGAUGGUAGUCCUUUGACCUAGCACGCUCUGUCACCACAUGCCUGGAGAGCAACCUUCCUAGUCACUCGGUUGGUGAUAGAAAGUGCUUCUUCCAAAGAGAGGUACAGAGCUCUGUAGUUUGUGGGGACAUUGUGAGUGCCCCCACAGACAAACCCACAUGUUCCUCUCUAGAAGGGAUCAAGUAGUAUUUUCACAGCUGAUAUUUCUGGCCUGACUUUGAUCCCCACUUAUGCAUUGACUCAUUGAUAACACUAAGAACAUGAUUCCUGCUGGUCACCAAGAGCACUGGGACAAGGAGCAACCCUGUCCAGAGAGGCAGCAGCAGACUGACUGUUCCCACUGCAGGAAAUCCCUUCCCCUUCUUUCUGACCCCAGUGCCCUUAAAUUUCUAAGUCAUCAGGGGUUUUGCAGAGCAUUUUGGCCUCCUACCCACUUGUCUUGAGACAGUGAAAACAUCUGUGUUAUCUACAGUGUCCAGGCAAGGAUCUGGCAAAAGACAAACUCCACAGAAUGAAUGAAAUGCCAAGUACUUCAUAAAAUAAUACUGUGCUUCAAAUUGUUUUGGGAAGAUUUUUGUUUGUUUGUAAAAGGACACAAAGUUGUUUGGGGUGAAAAGAUGUGAAUUGGGAAAAAUUGGGGAGGUGAUGAAUACAAUUAAAACCCACUGUAUGGAACUCUC